UAUGUGAAGUUUUGGUGUUAC
rnacentral:piRNA from 1 species